UUCCUCAUCCUUUCUAGUUAUUAAGGCAGUAGGAUUCUACUUUGGUUAUAUUUACUGAAAUUGGUGAUUUAUGAGUAUUUUUCUAGCUACUUCAAAGAAGACUUGAUGGUGAAACAUACUAUUAGGCUAAGUGCUGUAAGUUCCAAGUUUGGGCAGAUUCUACUUGCAACUAUAUGAAUGCAAACUUGUACAUAUAUGAAAGAAAAGAAGGACUUGGUGUUUACCUGAUGAAAGCUACAAUUGUUUUGAAAAUCAGCUCCUAAAACUCAAACUCUCCUACUCUAAAUCUUGCUAUGUUGCUGAAAAUUUCUUGUGGUGUGUAGGAGAGUUCAUAAGUGGUGUUGGAGGGGGUUUUUAUAGGCUGAUUUUGUACCUUAGGAGGAGUUAAUGAGGCUGAUCUCCUUUUGUUUUUAUGCCCAGCAUAUCUCUUGUUUUUGAUCCUCAUUGCAGCCUUCUACUUGAAACAUUUUGGUGUUACUUGGAGUACUAAGUUUGACUAAUUAAUUCAUCUUGUUCUCACAUGCCCUCUUAGUACUUUAGUUCAUAACUCUCUUUGUUUGCAAGCUGCAGGAGCAUGUAGGGGUGGCAAAGCCAUUGGGUGGGAGCUGCUGCAGUUGAAAAGGGCUGACCUUGCCUUAUUUAGUAAAUUUUUUGGUCUACAACAAGAAGCUCUUAUAGGAGCUGCAAGAAAACUCGGCUGCUACCUUGCUGCCUUGGGCCCGAUGGGCUGCUUGAAACAGGCUAUGGUUCGGGCCUGGAGGAGAGGCCCGAAGUGCAUCAAAAUUUCCUCUUUUCUUUUCUCUGUUUUUUUAUAUGAAGCCUUUGAUCCAUGUAAUUUUUGAAGUUAGUUAAUAGUUUAUUGUGUAUGUAAUGCUAUUCGAAAUUCUUUAUAUUCCGUAACGUAUAUUAGUUUGUUUUA